GACGAACGCUGGCGGCGUGCUUAACACAUGCAAGUCGAACGGAAAGGCCCUGCUUUUGUGGGGUGCUCGAGUGGCGAACGGGUGAGUAACACGUGAGUAACCUGCCCUUGACUUUGGGAUAACUUCAGGAAACUGGGGCUAAUACCGGAUAGGAGCUCCUGCUGCAUGGUGGGGGUUGGAAAGUUUCGGCGGUUGGGGAUGGACUCGCGGCUUAUCAGCUUGUUGGUGGGGUAGUGGCUUACCAAGGCUUUGACGGGUAGCCGGCCUGAGAGGGUGACCGGACACAUUGGGACUGAGAUACGGCCCAGCCUCCUACGGGAGGCAGCAGUGGGGAAUAUUGCACAAUGGGCGGAAGCCUGAUGCAGCAACGCCGCGUGCGGGAUGACGGCCUUCGGGUUGUAAACCGCUUUCGCCUGUGACGAAGCGUGAGUGACGGUAAUGGGUAAAGAAGCACCGGCUAACUACGUG
rnacentral:rRNA from 1 species